rnacentral:rRNA from 1 species
AGUGAACGCUGGCGGUAGGCCUAACACAUGCAAGUCGAACGAGUGGCGGACGGGUGAGGAAUACAUCGGAAUCUCCUCUGUCGUGGGGGAUAACGUAGGGAAACUUACGCUAAUACCGCAUACGUGUGAAUGAGCCGAUGUCGGAUUAGCUAGUUGGCGGGGUAAAGGACCACCAAGGCGACGAUCCGUAGCUGGUCUGGGAGGAUGAUCAGCCAAACUGGAACUGAGAAACGGUCCAGACUCCUACGGGAGGCAGCAGUGGGGAAUAUUGGACAAUGGGGGCAAGCCUGAUCCAGCCAUACCGCGUGGGUGAAGAAGGCCUUCGGAUUGUAAAGCACUUUAAGUUGGGAGGCGUUACCAACAGAAUAAGCACCGGCUAACUUCGUGCCAGCCGCCGCGGUAAUUC